GGUUAAGUCCGCAACGAGCGCAACCCCUACGUUUAGUUGCUAACGCGUGAAGGCGAGCACUCUAGACGAACUGCCGUUGACAAAACGGAGGAAGGUGGGGAUGACGUCAAAUCAUCAUGCCCCUUAUGUUCUGGGCUACACACGUGCUACAAUGGCCGGUACAGACGGACGCAAAGCCGCGAGGUGGAGCAAAUCCUAAAAAGCCGGUCUCAGUUCGGAUUGCAGGCUGCAAUUCGCCUGCAUGAAGUCGGAAUCGCUAGUAAUCGCAGGUCAGCAUACUGCGGUGAAUACGUUCCCGGGCCUU
rnacentral:rRNA from 1 species